ensembl:lncRNA
UCAUAAGCUCUGAAUUAGAAAUGAAGUUGCUACUAUAACUACAGAAAACCAACUCGUUUCCACAUGUGCAUCUCACAGCCGUUAGGCUCUCUAAUAGCCCAUUUUAUACACAGACAGGUCCAUGUAGGUCUGCCUGUUGCUUCCUUCUUUUGAAGGCAUCAGAAUUCUGAUUCAGCAGAAUCAGAAUCAGCAGAAUUCACACAGUGCUAAGAAGUUCUGGGCCUUGCUGGAUUAGGGUAAGUAAAAGGAGACUAACUCUUCCCCUGCACACUGAGAGAAUCCCCUUUGGACGUUUGAAAACACCUCCCUGAUUUUUCACAUUGUUUUCAAGUAAAAGAACCAUGCUCAGAUAACCAAGUAUGGUAUUUUCAAGCAGAUUAUGUACUGUGGACACAUUUUCACACAUUUUCCUGCAAUCAUCACAAUCUUAAAAAGUUUCUGGAUUGAACUCCUUCUUGGAAAAUGUAAGCACUCCUGACAACAGUGUCAUAAAUAUGAACAGUCUGCAGAGCCUCUUCACUCAGGGCAAAGCCAUGCACCAGGCUUUCCCUCCCUUGCAUACCAAUCCAGCCCUCUUUGCAAUCAGAUUCAGUUUUUCUCCACCAGCUUUUUAUUACAACACUAAGGAUAUUACUCACCUUCAUUCUUCUCUGCAAGCAACCACAAAUAAAUAGCCCGUACAUCCCAACAAAGAAAAUGUAUUUCUGGAAAACGUGCUAAAAGCUUAUGCUGUUCUCAGGCAAAGACAAGAACACUGCAAAAGUGUGCUGGCUAUUUAGUCAAAGAGCUGAAUGUGUCAAGAAAAGAUGCUAAUAAGGACCUGAAGGUCUGGACUGUCUUCUCAUAAAUUUACUGGGAGAAUGGCAGAGUGGAAAAUACUAGUCCAUUAAUGGUGCUCUGUUAAAUUUAUUGUGGACUGAUUUCAUUGUCAGAUGACUUGACUGUACAGAAUGGAGUAUACAUACAGUUAGAUAGCUGGAAAAAUAUCAGACAACUGAGAUCAUGACAGUAUCUGUGUACAGAAAAUUUUAUUGGUGUAAUAAAGGAAAAAAAUGUCCUUUUGUUUUGUCACUGAAGCACAACACGUCUCAGUGUGAUAAAGCUACAGCCAUUAGCUGAUAGCAAAAUACAGAUGUUCGUGGGGACAGAGAGGUGCUAUAUAACUGUAUCCUCACUGUAGUAGUGAAAGUCGAACAACAUGUAAGUAUGUAUAUGUGCAUGCACCUGUGUAUGUGUAGACAUGCCCUAUAAGGACCCUCCUGCUGCCCUUUCAUAUGGAUGGCAUUAAGACAUCUGUUUCAAGAGAAAGUGAAUCUAACAUUUGUCAAGUCAGAACAGCAGCACAAAAGAUACAAAAAUAAAGAAUCUGUUAGUUGUUAGGAAAAGCAGAAGAACGUUUUUUGGGGAGAGGGACAGGGCAAGUUGGUGGUUAUUCAGACCAUCAGCCAUCAGUUGACAAUGCACGUUCAGAUUAGAAAGUGCAGUUAUUAAGCUCAGACUGUUUAUGCAUACGCUAAACAAGAUAUCAUAAAGAGCAAUGACAAAUCACGGAGCCAUUCCAUUUAUAAGAAUUAAAUUUGGGAGGAGCUGAAAGAGGAAACGGAUGAAAAGUGCUCUUUAUGUUAAGUCACCUCACAUACAAAAGAGAUGAUGGGUUUUCAGGAAACAAUCCAAGUGGCACUGAUUACAAAUUAUUCCGGUGUGCAGCUCCAUAGCCCUCCUGCAACAUCCAAGUGGAUGUAAAGCCCUUUGGGGCACGUGUAAGGUUAAGCACUAGGUUCUGUGCACCUAACAGGGCUCUAAUCCAUGUAGGGACUGCAUGGAUGCUCUCAGUUUUUAGGAGGCUGGUGGGACCAGCGCUGGGGUACCAAUCCAUUUACCACAGAGUUCAGAUAAGGAACAGGUAAGAGACCACUUGCAAAUGCUCCUUGGAUGCUCUGUUUUGUAACAUGCACUCCUUUUUCAGCUGAUUCUCUGGCUGAGAGUUUUUAGGAUGCAGGAGCCAUUUCACACUGAAAGAUUUUGUAUACUGAAAUGCAAAAAUCCAUGCCAGGUGAACCAGACUCCCUGGAGGUCUUCAAAGCCUUUCGUAUCUCCCUGGUGGUCACACAAGAAAGGUGUUCAUUUACUUUAGGAGACUUUGUACAUCAAGUAAUUGAAAUUCAUGAGAGUCUGGUGCCUGUGCUGGGCAGACAGCUGCUCUCAGCCCUUUGCUGCUGUUUUUCUCUCCAGAAAGGUUCAGCUGUUAGUAAGGGCACUCACUGCCCACCCUUCUGCUCACCGUGAUUUUGAGAAUUUAUCCUUAUCAAUGAUAGCUACGCAGAGCUGAAGCGGAGAGAAGAAACACGAUUUUUCACUUCUGCUAGAAUAACAGCCGAAGACUGCAGUACCACCUUGCUGUCCGGUACAAGGAGAGUUCCCCUUCAGCAUUUUUUAGCUAUGUUUUAUCAUAAUACACCAGUUUUAGUGAUUCCCCUCCCCUACUCCUGUACAAACAACGAGGCUUUUCUCUUAACAAAUGCAUUUGUGAAACGUAUCAUUUCCCAUAAAAAAUCUCCAAAUGCCACAUGGAAAACAAAGCUUAUGAGCCAAAACACAUUUUGUCAAACCUCCUUACUUGGCCAGGGGAAGGUGAGUGGGGACAGAUAUUCUUCUAAAUGAAAAACACCAUAAUUGAACGUAUCAGAAUUCUCUACAGUAACUCUGUCCAGUACUUCACUGACCCCAUUUAAAGUGUUAACACUUUAUCCAUUUCCACAGCUUAAGAACUUCUCCUCUGGCAAUGUUAACUUCCUCACAUGUUUAUAUCGUAAGAAAAAUAAAUGAGAAGGAAUUUACAGGGUAUUUUCAUUUUGCUGCAGUUAAUCUUCUCGUUUUGGAGGAUGGUACCUUUUGACAGCACUGUAUCAAUACCAGUUUGGAAGGAGAACGUAACAAAUGCAACCUGGAAAUUGACAUAUGCAAUUUAACCGUGUACCCUUACUUCUCAAAAAUAACCACUGAACCAGAACUUUUGACAGCCAUUCCGAAAGCUCAGAGAAGUAUGCACACUUGCAUUUUUGUUCACCAAAACAAUUCAUGUUUCACACUGAAUUUCCAUGAAAAAAACAAAUGCAAUUCUACCAAUGCAGAAACAACUAGGUGGACGGUUAUUUGGACAUUCAACACUCUGCAGAUAAAUCAAGUGGAGGCCUUGGUUAUCAGUGCACCAGCAGGACCCCUAACGUCACUGGGAAGUACGAGUUUUAAAGCAAUUUACUUUCAGAUCUGCUACAGAAUCAGCAGUAUCUUGAAGGCAUAAUCAAAUAUCAGUUCUCCAAUACAUUCUAUCAAAAGCAACACUGUCUGAGCAGGUACUUUAUAUAAAACACUUUAAAUACUUUAAAAUAAAGCACCUUGCUAGUCUGAGCAAACUAGAGAAAUUGCCUAGAUGAUGCUUCAUUCAGUCAGGACCUCAAGUGCUAAUCCUAAGUAAGAAGGAUUUCUGUAUACUUCUGGAAUGGGAGGGAACUUUGUUCACCAUUUAUUUCAGCGUGUUAGGGCCAGGCAGUUACUGUUCUCUGUUUCCAUCGUGCUCUAAAGGGCAAAGACAUGAUGCAGAAUGCAGGGGACUGGUGUUAAGUUCCAGUACAGAGAUGACUGUGAAAGGGAAUGAAAUACAUUCCUUUUGCUUCUGAGAUGGUCUUACAGUCAAAGAUAAAACAACGUGUUUGGCAAAGUCCUUCACUUCAAAAAAGGAUUUAUCAGAAAUUCCAAGAAAAGGUGUACUAAUGAAGGUGUAUGUUCCUAAAAUGUGCAUUACUCUGGAUGGCUAAAGAAGGAUGUCCAGCACCAUUUUGGUACUUCUGGCUUCCUGCUGCCACUUCAACAGGUCCCCUGCCAAGAUGUUUCAGCUGGUUAAGGGCAUUUCAAGCGGUGUUAAGAGCCUCAGUUUAAAUAGUGAAAUCCCAGCCUCCCCUGCCAGCAGUAAUACAUAUGCAUAUAUGCACACACAAUGUUUCCAUGAUUAAAGCAGUUUGUCAUUAAUUAGAACCAAGUCAUAAACAGCAACUCAGUCAUGUUUUGCUCCGUCUUGGAAUGCUUGUUUAUUCCAAAGUCAUGACGUUUCCUGUAAAGCAAAUACCUUGAGAGUACAGUGCUAUAAUUACAUGAUGAAUAAAUGGAUGGUGCUUUGACAGAUACAAUACAAGACAUAAACUCAAGUUAGGGUGUCCUGCUAACAUAACAGAAUGCGACAAUAACAUCUGAACAGCAAAAGAACUCAGCAGCCAAAUGAUUUACUUAGCAGGAUUACCAUUAAUAUAAAAUGGCUAUUUCAGCCUAUUAUUUUUGGAAAUUAAGUAUCCUUUCUUUAAUGCAAUCAGGAUCUUGCAAGUAAGAUUUGGUAAGAGUAACUUACUUAGGGAUUCCCGAGCACUUGGUAUAAUAACAGAUCGUGAUGCCAGGCAAAUUCAUAAAACUUUUCAUCAAUUGUGACCAUGGCAAAAAACAAACAUGGGAUUUUAGGAAGAAGCUUAAUGCAGUUGGGCAUCAAAACCUCAGUGACCUUGGAUUCCUCAUGUUACUGAAAAUCCUAAGAGCAGUUUGUAAGGAAACUUGGUAAGAACAUGGAAUAGUGCCAAGGAAUCCUCCCUGUCUGAUUCCUUCUUUAGCCAAUAGCUUGCAUAUACCCUCACAACACCGUGUACCUAAGAAAGGGACACUAUGGGAAAAAAAAUUCUGCAUGCAACUUAGGAGAAAAGAAAAAAAAACAAACCAAGACUUUUUAUGAUCAAUCUUCUAUCUCAGUCUUGUUACAUAUCUAACUGAUAAAAGCUUUGCUUCAUUUGAUGGGAAUGAGCUGAGUCCAAAAGCUCACUGUGUACUCUUUGAAGUUCUACAGGCACGCACUUACAGUUGUGACCUAUUUAAAUCCAGCCAGUGAAACACAGUUCCUAUGUCCGGUUGGGGAUCAGCAAAGUAAAGCUACAAAAGGGCUAUUUCAUAUGACAAGAGUAUGACAGGAACCUACUGAGUACUGUUCUUGUUCUUGAAGUCAAGCCUGGGGAAAAAAUUAAAAAAUGAAAGUUCAGGACCGAAUUUUGGUUUCCGUUCCACUUGGAAACCAAGCAAUCAUUUCUCUUCAAGGAAUCAUACCACAUCUUGAUCUAUAAAAACAUAAGAACAGAUUGAAUUUGCAUUAACGUAAACAGGCAUCUCUGAAAAGAACACGGAGUACUCAAAGUGUGGACAUUUAUGCUAGUACUUUUUAAAGCUGUUACCGUGUAUAUUAUAUACAGAUAAAAGUAAAUGCUGCCUUCUUUUUAAAUAUUUUCUUUAUUUCAGUCAAAUAGGAAAAUUAUGUAAUUGCAGAAUUGGAAAUUCAGGAAAAGAAUUUUAAGCCCUCUUUCUUUUGGGACUUGGAAGACUGCAGAAGAACAAGGAAAGAAAGUGGCCAGUGGUGAAACAGUCAAGAUCUGCAUCUACAGAGAAGACGAUGCUUUCCCAUCGUACAUGCUAACUGGAAAUAGCUACUUCCAAGGUUCAGUUCCUAAAGGAAAACCGGAAAGCUGAAAGCAUUUAUUGUGUUUUCCAAAUUUUAGUAAUGGCAAUAUUUCCAUCUUGAGUCCAUCGUCUUUCCUGAGAAUGGAUUCUGAUCAAUUGGGACCACAGACUAAGGCCUCCAUAGGACACCCAUGCUCGUAUCAGUGCAGCCAAAUUCUUGGACACUGACCAGCUGUCUAACUUAAACAGCUUAUGAGUCCCAAAUAGCUAUCCAAAAUGAGAUAAAAAUGGUCUUCCUUCUACUCUAUUAAAAAAACGGUCUUCCUCCCUUCCUACUGUAUAUCCUCAUCGCCUCAUACACCAUUACGAGAUAAUCUAACCCGUGACUGAAGACUAAAUGCCUCAUGUGCUCCCUGCCCUCAGUACACCAGCAAGCCCUUGGCAGCCUGCUCACUUCUGGGCUUGAGCACCCAUGUCUAGAUGUGCCACAGACAUCGUCUUGAGGGCUCAGACAGACAAACUCCAAGUGCUCUGCUUUAAAAGGAAACCAUUUGCUUAUCUAAGCUCAGACUGUGGUAGCAUUGGUUGGUUUGAACAGCAUUUUUCACUAAUGAAAAUUGGCUGAGAAGGCAAGGAAUCAACAAGGAAUCCUUUGACUUUAGAAAAUAAUAGCUUCUUGCAGUGGAAUAUAGAGAGUGUUGGCUUCCAGAAGUUUCUCCCCUUCAAAGCAACUUUGCAGGAUUUUUUUUUUAAAUAAACGUAAAUGUUUGGGACAUCGUGAUAUUUUCUAUUUUAUAUACGUUUUUUUGUCUGUUUUGUUAUUGUUGUUGUUGCUCUGAAACUAAAAUGUAUUUGUUUAAACAAUAUAAAAAUAGAACCAGAAAAAAACAAAAAACAAACAAACAAAAAAAAACAACCACACAUAAAACCAUUUGCACAUUAUGAAAUAAAUAUAUCUGGAGCAAACUAUCUAUCUCUUUGGUUGUCAGUUUGAGGGAAAUGUCACAGUUCGGACUUUUCCCCAAAAUUCUCACAGAUCAGGAAACCUUUUCUUACCCAAAUGUGCUUCAUCAAAUUUGCUCUUGCAAAUGACUGAAAGGAACACAGGGAAAGAAAAGCUAAGUAGGAUUAAGAGUUUCACAGCCUGGCACAGAUGGGCUAAAGCUUCUUGUUUCAGAAAAAAAGCUAAUUAAUUAACCCAGAGCUUCAUCAACAUCGAAAUCCUGCAAGAGGCUCUUGGUUGCCUCUGAAUCUCAAUAAAACCGCCCCUCUGCAGUUGCAGAAGCAUCAGUGCCUCCUUCUCAAAGAUGCAGAGCAGAACAUAUGUGUUGGGACCUGUCUGCUUAACAGCACAAUCCUUCUUUCCCUUUAUGAACAGUGAGCUCUCAAGCUCCCUAAAGCAAAGAAAUCGGGUGAGGAAAUAUUUAAUCAGUGAAAGGAGGAAUUUAUACGCCAUUGAUAAGCUAGGAGGUGUAUGGAAAUAGAGAAUGCAAUUGAAAGAAGCAAACUCUUCCAUCACUGACCUCUGUCUUGCAGUGACUAUGUGUGAAAGCAGAAACAUGACUUAAUUUCACUGAUGGCCAGAGUCUGAAUCUUACAAAAUGGGUUCCCGUUUCUUAGCCAGAAGAUGAUAUAAUCUUGGCUAUUAUGUGCUUUUCCCAUUUACCCAUCACUGUGGCACGGCCUCUCCUCCCAUUCUAAAAAAGCAUUUUCAGGGCUAGGAUCCUGCAUCCACUUAACUAAUGCUAUUUAAGGUGACUAGAUGACUCUCACUAGAUCUGAUACAUUAGGAGCAUUAUAAAGGCUGGAGACCAGGCUGUGGCUAUGGCUAUGAAUAUGGCUCUGAGUAAAAUAAACUCUGCAUUUCCCAUUGCAUCAUUUUCCUGAGUGAAGGGAAGCAGAGGGAGCUUCCUGACACAAACAAGAUGUUGAGGGAGGGGAGUGACAGCAGAAAAGGAAACCAGAUGACCUUCAAAUGCCCCUUCCAACCCAAACCAUUUUCUGAUUCUGUGACUCGGUGACAUACGGACAAGGCUGUUUCCAGUAAUCAGAGGUCAGAGCACCAAACCCAGAUGAAGUCUGGAGGUAUACACGGAGGAAGUGGGGUAGCUGAAAGCUCAGUUCCCACUAGGUUUCCAGGGAAUACGCUGAGACUAAUGAAAGCACCGAUGCCUCCAGCUCCAACAGACAAUGAUAUUUCACAGUUGAUAGCAGAUACUUUGUCACAUUGCAUCUCAGCCAGGUUGUUCAACUCUGCUUGAGGGCAUUAUGUCCAUUAAGUUUCUUUCAAGAAGCACAGUUUGUCUUAUUACAAGCAUUUAAGGAAUCAAAAAGAAUACCAUGGAUGAAUCUUCCCAUUUUAAUCAUUCCUCUUCCAUCAACUAAUUAUGUUGUUCUGACAUAGUAAAGGAAAAACAAAGAAUUCUCUGCAGAAUUCUCCCUUUUCUUUCUUUUUUUUUUUCCCUUGUGAACACAAGUGCAAAUAUGGGCAUGCCAUAUUCAUUUACCAAUGGAAACUGGCAGUUAUCCUCAUCACCUAGAAGCUCUCAGACAGGGCAGGUUCAAGCUCCAAGCUGGAAACCAGACAGGUGGCUCACCUAACUGCAUUUAAACUUGCUUUCAUCUCACACUGUAGACUCAAUUUGAGAGCUCUCAGCUUUCCUUGAUGCCAGGUAUACUUGUAGGGUAGGCUUCUGCCUCAGCACCAUUCAGAUGUGACAGCCAGUGCUGUGACAUGGCCUGCCUCUGGCUUCAAAUCAUAUAUUACCAUUGUGCUUCUCCUUCAAGAGUUCUUUCCUCCUUGCCUAAACCUUGCAUCUUCCCGUCAGCUUGCAGAGUUCCUGUGCAGCACUGCUAACCAGGCUGCACAUGGAGCAGCUCAGGACACAGUCCACUCUGUAUGCUGUCUGGUAUUCGGUUUUUCUCUUAGAUAAUUUAAGGGAGAAUAGAAGACCCAGAGGUGUUAUUUAUUCAGUUCAGAAGCAACAUGUUACCACAAACAUGCAAACACCACUACUCAACACCAAGAAAGAAUCCACCAUCCCUAAAAAAGAAAUAGCAUGCUCUUUUGAAAUAGAAAGAAAUGCUGCCGAUGAGUACAUUCUCAGCUAUAGCACAAGGUGGUAGCUUUUGCUCUUCCUCCCCCACCUUCCAUUUUUACCCAGGGUUGUAGAGUAUGAGAUGAGCAAUGCGACCUUGCAAUGACAGAAUUUUAAUGUAUGCCUAGUGCACCAAAAGCAAUGCAGCAGCAUCUCUCUUCUCAGUGUUGCUAUGUACUCUGCACAUUUAUGCAACGCUGCUUCACAUCCUCAAGGCUGUCCUUACCUAGGGUCAGUGGCAAAGAACACAGAAUGUAUUUAUUGAACUGUCAAAGCUACUUACAGCUAGCAUGGAGAACUAUAUAUACUCCAUGAUUCUGGUGAAAAAGAGGUAAAGCCAUUCCAAACCCCAAAGCUGCAAAACAGAAGUAGAUAUUUUUUGAAACAAGAAUCAAUGGUGAAUUUAUUUCAAGUAAAUUACUUAUUUCCAAGGUGUUUUACUAAAAUAUACUAGUUUUCUUCUGUGUUUUAGCUUUGAGUUGUGCGCUGGAAGGCUAUCUCUGUAUACAACAGUUUUCAAACCCCAGGGAGAAUUAGCAUCCACAUCCAGAAAACAGGGCUUGCUUUUAAUUUCUGAAACUGAAGAACCAAGGAGAAACGUCCCCCACCUUCCCCUUUGCUUUCAGCUUCUAAAUAUUUCAAGCUAUUCACGUGCUGGAAAUUCAUCAUCCUCCUCUGCCCUCCUCGGUUUGCUCCUCAGCUGACAGCUUAAGGAGCUACUCACAGAUCUCCCCUCCUGGUGUAACAGUGCAGAUAAUUAGGAAGAAGGUGCAGGUUUGGGGCUGUGGGACAGCCAGACUUUUGCCAGAAAGAGGCACUUAAAAUACCAAAUAGUACUUUCCACAAGGUAUGACACACCCUGAAAUUUAAGGACUCUGUUAAGAGGCACUCUGAAAUUGGGAUGGGUUGCUUUAUCCAGCUUUCUCCUUGUAUUCCCCAAAUAAUGGGGCAGAUCCUUAGCUGUUUCUACAGCACAGAAAUAGAAUCACAGCAUCAUUAAGGUGGAAAAGACCUCUAAGAUCAUCUAGCCCAAACAUCAUCACCAUGCCCACUAAACCAUGUCCAUAUGAUAUGACCUUUUCAGACAACAUAAUGCUUCAGACACUGCAAACCUUGAGCAUUCACUACAGUGAAGUUCAGAGCUAUUCAUAACCUCAGAGGUAGUGCACAGCAUUCCACAGGAUGAAAACAUACCCCAUACCUCCCACAGCACGGGUGAUGCAAUCAGGAGAAUGCAAAAUCUUUACAAAUAUUCGAACAGCUCUUGAAGAAGCAUUUGUUGUUCAAAAUCUUGUGCAUUCAUUGCAUGUGACAGUCUAGCAGAGGACAUAGGGUUCCUAUAAAGGAAAUUCCAGACUUUCUGGAAUUUACUGUGCUUAGUAUAAGAACAAGCUCUUUAUGGGAAUGAAAAGUCUCAUUUCAGCUCUAUGCAUUUCACCAGUGCAUUAUCACAGUGGUCUUAAUGAAAUACACCAACAACAGAGAUGACUCAAACUCCAAAUCACCAUUCAGAGUUGAGUCCUCAGCUGUUUUCUAUAUAUCCCUGAUAAAUGUACGUUCAUUACAGAAAAGCUCAGUUCAGCAAGGGCACCAGUGGCGUUUUGAUUAAACUUUGCUGUUAAAUCCUCUUUGUUAAAACAAUAAAACCGCUUUUAUUUGUGAGGGGUGGGAAAUCUGCAGACAAAUCAGAUGCAUAAUCCAGAGAAGAACAGAUCCAGCUUGCCUUAAAUCACACUGGCAUGUUUAUGAAAUGAUUGCCAGACUGAAGUGAAAAUUAAUCUCCCUAGAAGCCCUUUUAUUUUUUAAACAAGUAAACAUUGCAUUUUAAUAACUUUGCUCUGACUUAAGGGGCUCAGACUCCUACUGACAAUGACUAGUUAGCCUCCUGCUGGCUUUUGUAAGCAACGUCUUGUAGUUUGAAACUAAAACCUGGCGGUAGUGUUAAGCAAAGGCUUUUCUCUUAGCCUGCUUCUUGGAUUUGUUAGGCUUUUACAGCUCAAUUACCGCUCCCCAAGAGGCCAGCCUACCACUCACAUUAUCUGCCCCUUCACAGCCUGCUCCAAAUCGCUUCCUCACCUUUGUGCUAGAGGCAUUAGAAGCAAAAGGAGAGCUCUGCACCUGGCUGCAAAGAAUGCUCAUGAGUUGCUCUGAGUUUAUAUCAGACUCUGUGUGCAUGCAAGUAUAUGUAGUACUUCCCUUGCUGCAAGAUUAAUGGCUUCAAGUUGCACCAGGGGUGGUUCAGGUUGGAUAUUAGGAAAAGCAAGCUCACCAAAAAAGUGGUUGGGCACUGGAACAAGAUGCCCGGGGAAGUAGUGGAAUCACUGACACUAGAAGUGUUCAAGAAAUGUGCAGACAUACUUAGGGACGUGGUUUAGUGGGCAAUAUUAAUGGUAGGUGGACAGCUGGACUAGAUGAUCUUAGAAGAUUUUUCCAAACUUAGUGAGAUUACAGUUCUGUGAGUCUACAAUAACAAGACCUGCAACAAAGAAUAAUGAUGGGAGUUGAGUGUUGAGGCAGAGACCACUGUAGGGAUGCAGCGUGUGACCCCCAGUGCUGCUGGAAGUUGAAUGUGCGCAGUGUUUCCAUACAU